rnacentral:rRNA from 1 species
CCGCAUGUCGCUCUCCUUUCUACUUACACAUGCAGUCGAACGGCAGCACGGGUGCUUGCACCUGGUGGCGAGUGGCGAACGGGUGAGUAAUACAUCGGAACGUGUCCUGUAGUGGGGGAUAGCCCGGCGAAAGCCGGAUUAAUACCGCAUACGAUCUACGGAUGAAAGCGGGGGAUCUUCGGACCUCGCGCUAUAGGGGCGGCCGAUGGCGGAUUAGCUAGUUGGUGAGGUAAAGGCUCACCAAGGCGACGAUCCGUAGCUGGUCUGAGAGGACGACCAGCCACACUGGGACUGAGACACGGCCCAGACUCCUACGGGAGGCAGCAGUGGGGAAUUUUGGACAAUGGGCGAAAGCCUGAUCCAGCAAUGCCGCGUGUGUGAAGAAGGCCUUCGGGUUGUAAAGCACUUUUGUCCGGAAAGAAAUCCCUGGUCCUAAUAUGGCCGGGGGAUGACGGUACCGGAAGAAUAAGCACCGGCUAACUACGUGCCAGCAGCCGCGGUAAUACGUAGGGUGCAAGCGUUAAUCGGAAUUACUGGGCGUAAAGCGUGCGCAGGCGGUGAUGUAAGACCGAUGUGAAAUCCCCGGGCUCAACCUGGGAACUGCAUUGGUGACUGCAUCGCUUGAGUAUGGCAGAGGGGGGUAGAAUUCCACGUGUAGCAGUGAAAUGCGUAGAGAUGUGGAGGAAUACCGAUGGCGAACGCAGCCCCCUGGGUCAAUACUGACGCUCAUGCACGAAAGCGUGGGGAGCAAACAGGAUUAGAUACCCUGGUAGUCCACGCCCUAAACGAUGUCAACUGGUUGUCGGGUCUUCAUUGACUUGGUAACGUAGCUAACGCGU